rnacentral:rRNA from 1 species
UGCUGCAUGGCUGUCGUCAGCUCGUGUCGUGAGAUGUUGGGUUAAGUCCGCAACGAGCGCAACCCCUAUCUCUAGUUGCCAGCGAUUCGGUCGGGGACUCUAGAGAUACUGCCCCGGUUAACGGGGAGGAAGGUGGGGAUGACGUCAAGUCCUCAUGGCCCUUACAUCCCGGGCUACACACGUGCUACAAUGGCAGGUACAGAGGGCUGCGAAGCCGCGAGGUGGAGCGAAUCCCAGAAAACCUGUCUCAGUCCGGAUUGAAGUCUGCAACUCGACUUCAUGAGGGCGGAAUCGCUAGUAACCGCGAAUCAGCAGGUCGCGGUGAAUACGUUCCCGGGCCUU